rnacentral:rRNA from 1 species
GACGAACGCUGGCGGCGUGCCUAAUACAUGCAAGUAGAACGCUGAAGCUUGGUGCUUGCACCGAGCGGAUGAGUUGCGAACGGGUGAGUAACGCGUAGGUAACCUGCCUGGUAGCGGGGGAUAACUAUUGGAAACGAUAGCUAAUACCGCAUAAGAGUAGAUGUUGCAUGACAUUUGCUUAAAAGGUGCAAUUGCAUCACUACCAGAUGGACCUGCGUUGUAUUAGCUAGUUGGUGAGGUAACGGCUCACCAAGGCAACGAUACAUAGCCGACCUGAGAGGGUGAUCGGCCACACUGGGACUGAGACACGGCCCAGACUCCUACGGGAGGCAGCAGUAGGGAAUCUUCGGCAAUGGACGGAAGUCUGACCGAGCAACGCCGCGUGAGUGAAGAAGGUUUUCGGAUCGUAAAGCUCGGUUGUAAGAGAAGAACGAGUGUGAGAGUGGAAAGUUCACACUGUGACGGUAGCUUACCAGAAAGGGACGGCUAACUACGUG